rnacentral:rRNA from 1 species
UGGGGAAUAUUGGACAAUGGGCGAAAGCCUGAUCCAGCAAUGCCGCGUGUGUGAAGAAGGCCUUCGGGUUGUAAAGCACUUUUGUCCGGAAAGAAAUCCUUGGCUCUAAUACAGUCGGGGGAUGACGGUACCGGAAGAAUAAGCACCGGCUAACUACGUGCCAGCAGCCGCGGUAAUACGUAGGGUGCAAGCGUUAAUCGGAAUUACUGGGCGUAAAGCGUGCGCAGGCGGUUUGCUAAGACCGAUGUGAAAUCCCCGGGCUCAACCUGGGAACUGCAUUGGUGACUGGCAGGCUAGAGUAUGGCAGAGGGGGGUAGAAUUCCACGUGUAGCAGUGAAAUGCGUAGAGAUGUGGAGGAAUACCGAUGGCGAAGGCAGCCCCCUGGGCCAAUACUGACGCUCAUGCACGAAAAGCGUGGGGGAGCAAAACAGGAUUAGAUACCCUGGUAGUCCACGCCCUAAAACGAUGUCAACUAGUUGUUGGGGAUUCAUUUCCUUAGUAACGUAGCUAACGCGUGAAGUUGACCGCCU